rfam:Rhodobacter capsulatus SB 1003, complete genome.
CGGAGCGUAGCGCAGCCUGGUAGCGCACCUGCUUCGGGAGCAGGGGGUCGGAGGUUCGAAUCCUCUCGCUCCGA